CAGUAGCCGCGGUAAUACGAAGGGGGCUAGCGUUGCUCGGAAUGACUGGGCGUAAAGGGCGCGUAGGCGGCGAUCAAAGUCAGGCGUGAAAUUCCUGGGCUCAACCUGGGGGCUGCGCUUGAUACUGGGUUGCUUGAGUGGGGAAGAGGGUCGUGGAAUUCCCAGUGUAGAGGUGAAAUUCGUAGAUAUUGGGAAGAACACCGGUGGCGAAGGCGGCGACCUGGUCCUUUACUGACGCUGAGGCGCGAAAGCGUGGGGAGCAAACAGGAUUAGAUACCCGGGUAGUCCCUGUCUCUUAUAC
rnacentral:rRNA from 1 species